UGAGAGUAGCUCAGUUGGUAGAGCAUGAGACUCUUAAUCUCAGGGCCAUGGGUUUGAGCCCCACAUUGGGCAAAA
rnacentral:tRNA from 1 species